rnacentral:rRNA from 1 species
GGGACAAUCUCCAUGGUCAAAAGGGAAACAGCCCGGACCGCCAGCUAAGGUCCCUAAUUUUAUCUUAGUUCGAAAGGUAGUUGGGUCGCUAUGACAGCCAGGAUGUUGGCUUAGAAGCAGCCAUCAUUUAAAGAGUGCGUAACAGCUCACUGGUCGAGGGAUCCAGCGCCGAUAAUUAUCGGGAAUAAGAUGAAAACCGAAGCUGCGGAUUUGUACAUUUAUGUACAAGUGGUAGGAGAGCGUUCCUGUCGGCAUUGAAGCGGUACCGUAAGGUUACGUGGAGCGGCAGGAAGUGAAUAUGCCAGAUUGAGUAACGAUAAAGCGGGUGAGAAUCCCGCUCGCCGAAAGCCUAAGGGUUCCUGGGGAAGGUAAAUCCGCCCAGGGUUAGCCGGUACCUAAGGCGAGGCCGAAAGGCGUAGUCGAUGGACAGCAGGUUAAUAUUCCUGCGCCCCGGUGUGAGGUUGAAGCAACGUGACGGAUCCUUGAGUUCAGCAGGACGACUAGAAAUGUCCGGGUCUUCGGACCCCCGCUGGAGGAUAGGGUUCCUAGAAAAGCCGUUGUGGACGAUCACCGGGACCGUACUAAAACUGACACAGGUAGGCGUGGCGAAUAGCCUCAGGCGCUCGAGAGAAUGGUUGUGAAGGAAUUAGGCAAAUUGACCCCGUAAGUUCGCGAUAAGGGGGCCCUACUCACUUCGGUGAGAGGGCGCAGAGAAAAGGCUCUGGCGACUGUUUAUCAAAAACACAGCACUGUGCUAACUCGCAAGAGGACGUAUACAGUGUGACGCCUGCUCGGUGCCGGAAUGUCACGGAAGUUGGUUAGCCCUUCGGGGCGAAGCUGGCGACCUAAGCCCCGGUAAACGGCGGCCGUAACUAUGACGGUCCUAAGGUAGCGAAGUUCCUUGUCGGGUAAGUUCCGACGCGCAUGAAUGGCGUAACGACUGGAGCACUGUCUCCACAACCAACUCGGUGAAAUAGUAGUGGCGGUGAAGAUGCCGCCUACCCGCGGCAAGACGGAAAGACCCCGUGGACCUUUACUGUAGGCUAAUAUUGGUUACGAGCUUGUUUUGUGUAGGAUAGGUGGGAGGCUUUGAAACCCGGAUUCCGGUUCGGGUGGAGCCAACCUUGAAAUACCACCCUGAGCAUGUUUGUGAUCUAACCUCGAUUCCCAUGAAGCUGGGCGAGGGACAGUGUUUGCUGGGCAGUUUGACUGGGGCGGUCUCCUCCCAAAGAGUAACGGAGGAGCACAAAGGUCGGUUCAGCACGGUUGGAAACCGUGUUUAGAGUGUAAGGGCACAAGCCGGCUUUACUGCAAGACUGACAAGUCGAGCAGUUACGAAAGUAGGUCCUAGUGAUCCAGCGAUCCCGUGUGGAAGGGUCGUUGCUCAUCGGAUAAAAGGUACCCCGGGGAUAACAGGCUGAUCGCUCCCGAGCGCCCACAGCGGCGGAGCGGUUUGGCACCUCGAUGUCGGCUCAUCACAUCCUGGGGCUGAAGGCGGUCCCAAGGGUUCGGCUGUUCGCCGAUUAAAGUGGUACGCGAGCUGGGUUCAGACCGGCGUGAGCCAGGUCGGUCCCUAUCUGCCGUGGGCGUUGCAAUAUUGAGAGGCUUUUUCUUCAGUACGAGAGGACCUGGAAGGACACACCCCUGGUGCGCCAGUUGGACUGCUAAGUCCACCGCUGGGUAGCUAAGUGUGGCAGGGAUAACCGCUGAAAGCAUCUAAGCGGGAAGCCCCCCUCAAGAUGAAUAUUGCUUGUCUUAUGACGAAAGACCCCCGGAAGACUACCGGGUUGAUAGGUUACAUGUGUAAGGGCAGAAAUGUCCUGAGCAAAGUAAUACUAACGGUCAAAGGCUUAAUCA